rnacentral:lncRNA from 1 species
GCAAGCUGUGAUCCUCAAUUUGCCCUUUUGACUUGUUAUGAAACAUCUAUCGCUAGUGUCUCUACAAGCCCUUUCGAAUGCUCAAGAAGUUCUAGUUCAACCCCGCUUACAAAUUGUGAGGCUAUGCUGUAAUCCGCAUCGAUGUCCCUUGGCCGCUCGUCGAUAUUCUUCUUAUCCCUAUUGGUAGGUCCCCAGUUAUCAUAGAAACCCUAAACAAAUCCCAAUUUAUCAACUCCCAAAACCUCUUGAAACUAUUGGCAGAUAUCCUAUAUCCGUAUAGUCAGAUUAACACAACCACAU